GAAACGACUGCUAAGACUGGAUAGGAGACAAGAAGGCAUCUUCUUGUUUUUAAAAGCUAGCAUAGGUAUGCUUAGGGAGGAGCUUGCGUCACAUUAGUUAGUUGGUGGGGUAAAGGCCUACCAAGACUAUGAUGUGUAGCUGGGCUGAGAGGUUGAACGGCCACAUUGGGACUGAGACAUGGCCCAAACUCCUACGGGAGGCAGCAGUAGGGAAUUUUCGGCAAUGGAGGAAACUCUGACCGAGCAACGCCGCGUGAACGAUGAAGUAUUUCGGUACGUAAAGUUCUUUUAUUAGGGAAGAAUAAAUGAUGGAAAAAUCAUUCUGACAGUACCUAAUGAAUAAGCCCCGGCUAACUAUGUGCCAGCAGCCGCGGUAAUACAUAGGGGGCAAGCGUUAUCCGGAAUUAUUGGGCGUAAAGGGUGCGUAGGCGGUUAAAUAAGUUUAUGGUCUAAGUGCAAUGCUCAACAUUGUGAUGCUAUAAAAACUGUUUAGCUAGAGUAAGAUAGAGGCAAGUGGAAUUUCAUGUGUAGUGGUAAAAUGCGUAAAUAUAUGGAGGAACACCAGUAGCGAAGGCGGCUUGCUGGGUCUUUACUGACGCUGAGGCACGAAAGCGUGGGGAGCAAACAGGAUUAGAUACCCUGGUAGUCCACGCCGUAAACGAUGAGUACUAAACGUUGGGUAAAACCAGUGUUGAAGUUAACACAUUAAGUACUCCGCCUGAGUAGUACGUACGCAAGUAUGAAACUUAAAGGAAUUGACGGGACUCCGCACAAGCGGUGGAUCAUGUUGUUUAAUUCGAAGGUACCCGAAAAACCUCACCAGGUCUUGACAUGCUUCUGCAAAGCUGUAGAAACACAGUGGAGGUUAUCAGUUGCACAGGUGGUGCAUGGUUGUCGUCAGCUCGUGUCGUGAGAUGUUGGGUUAAGUCCCGCAACGAGCGCAACCCUUAUUGUUAGUUACCAGCACGUAAUGGUGGGGACUUUAGCAAGACUGCCAGUGAUAAAUUGGAGGAAGGUGGGGACGACGUCAAAUCAUCAUGCCCCUUAUGACCUGGGCUACAAACGUGAUACAAUGGCUGUUACAAAGGGUAGCUGAAGCGCAAGUUUUUGGCGAAUCUCAAAAAAACAGUCUCAGUUCGGAUUGAAGUCUGCAACUCGACUUCAUGAAGUUGGAAUCGCUAGUAAUCGCGAAUCAGCAUGUCGCGGUGAAUACGUUCUCGGGGUUUGUACACACCGCCCGUCA
rnacentral:rRNA from 1 species